GUUCCGAGGACCUCCCCUGCUAUGUGACCAAUGAGCUGAGCUGACAUCACAUUUAUCCACGGAUAUGACGAUUCAGAAUCCGCUCAUCCUAUUGGUCGAGGUACUGUUGCUUGCCAAAAUAGAUAGCGGAAGUCAACAAAGCAGCAUGGAUGACAGUGACACACCUUCGAGCAGCAGCAGUGCGACCGGAUGAACGUCUCUAUGAAUCAGUUGUGUGAGGAAUGUGCGUCUGUCAACAGCCUUCUGGAACGCCUCAUACCUCAGGAGAAGGAAAAUUGGCACACGAACUAUAGAGACAUUUCAACAUUCAGGACGAUAGCCGACCAACGGGACCUCCGUGAAUUGUUGUGUACGUAAUUGGGUUCGUGAAAAUGUCUUCACGUAGGCUUGUCACAAUAUCAACGUGUCGUUCGAUGAGAAAAGAUGGACAACAUAGGUGUGACAUUAACAGGAAAAAAAAACCAAAUGAUGUCGGCUCACUUUUCAAAUUCUCAACAAAAUAGUUUUGUUUCAAUGACUCAUUCCAGCCAAUUUGCAACUCAAUUAUUUUAUUUCAGCUUUACAAUGUGAACCACAUAUAUCAUACCAACAAUUAAAUGUUAAGUAUAUAGAUUAGCCAUUUAUUACCUUUUUGACAAUUACGUAUGAAGAAAGAGCUGACAAUAGUGUUGGCUUCAGACGUGGCUCAAGUCUGCCCGUGUAUAAAGUGACA